GCGACACUAGCUCAGUUGGUAGAGCGCAACCUUGCCAAGGUUGAGGUCACGCCUUUUUAUUUAUGAGCAAGUGAACCUCGUGUGUCGCUCCA
rnacentral:tRNA from 2 species